rnacentral:tRNA from 1 species
AGUAGAAUGGCUGAGAUAAGUGAUAGAUUGUAAAUCUAUAUAGGAGUAUUACUCUUCUACUA